rnacentral:rRNA from 1 species
AACGAACGCUGGCGGCAUGCCUAACACAUGCCAGUCGAACGAGACCUUCGGGUCUAGUGGCGCACGGGUGCGUAACGCGUGGGAACCUGCCCUUAGGUUCGGAAUAACUCCCCGAAAGGGGUCCUAAUACCGGUUAAUGUCUUCGGACCAAAGAUUUAUCGCCUUUGGAUGGGCCCGCGUUGGAUUGGCUAGUUGGUAGGGGAAAAGCCUACCAAGGCGACGAUCCAUAGCUGGUCUGAGAGGAUGAUCAGCCACACUGGGACUGAGACACGGCCCAGACUCCUACGGGAGGCAGCAGUGGGGAAUAUUGGACAAUGGGCGAAAGCCUGAUCCAGCAAUGCCGCGUGAGUGAUGAAGGCCUUAGGGUUGUAAAGCUCUUUUACCCGGGAUGAUAAUGACAGUACCGGGAGAAUAAGCUCCGGCUAACUCCGUG